rnacentral:rRNA from 1 species
GAUGAACGCUAGCUACAGGCUUAACACAUGCAAGUCGCGGGGCAGCAUGGGGGUUGCUUGCAAUCCCCGAUGGCGACCGGCGCACGGGUGAGUAACGCGUGUCCAACCUGCCCUUCACCACGGGAUAACCCGGCGAAAGUCGGACUAAUACCGUAUGUUGUCCAUUGACGGCAUCCGAUUUGGACGAAAGGUUUGGCGGUGAAGGAUGGGGAUGCGUCCGAUUAGCUGGACGGCGGGGUGACGGCCCACCGUGGCGACGAUCGGUAGGGGUUCUGAGAGGAAGGUCCCCCACACUGGAACUGAGACACGGUCCAGACUCCUACGGGAGGCAGCAGUGAGGAAUAUUGGUCAAUGGGCGUAAGCCUGAACCAGCCAAGUAGCGUGCAGGAUGACGGCCCUAUGGGUUGUAAACUGCUUUUAUGCGGGGAUAAAGUGGCCCACGUGUGGGUUUUUGCAGGUACCGCAUGAAUAAGGACCGGCUAAUUCCGUG